CAUCACCUGUCGAAGCGUGCCCGACGAAGACGGAAGGUUGAAGCAAAAGUGCGAACGUGUACGCAGGAAAUUCCGACAGUGUCCAGGAAGGUGAGCGGAAGGGUUGCAGUCCCGUGCGAAUGUUCGGACGGCAGUUUUCAUGGGAAUGAGACAUGCUGACGGAAGAGUGC
rnacentral:RNase_MRP_RNA from 1 species